AUGGCUCAACUUCUUCGACAAAGCGGCGCGAUCUCCUCCGACGUCUUCAUCAUCUUCGUCCGUUUCCCUUGUCUCAGCUUCGACGCCUUCGAUUUCAUCUCCGUUUUCUUCUCCUUCCUUUCUCCGAUUAAGACAUUCUUUUCAUCUAAUUCGUCACCGUUGAAACUUCGAUCGGCCUCCGCCUUGGUUCCGUUCUUCAGUUCGUCAACUCCGAUGCAUCAACGACAUCUCGGUUUCACUCAUGGCUCGCUCUACUCCGCCGUUUCACAGUUGUGUUCGUCGCGGUUCCAACGUCGAGUUUCGUCUUCUCACGAUUCUCAGCUAGGUUGA